UUUAAAUAGAUGAAAGAGAAGCAAGCUUCAAAACAGAUAAUGAAUUUCUUCUAACUCGUCUGGAGACUGAAGAGCCAUAAUUCUGAUUGAUCAGAUAUGGUCUGCUUCAGAGAGGCACCAGAUGUGGUCCAGAUUUUAAAUAGAUGCUGCUACUGUCAAAAUGCAUUCGCUCCCUCCUGGUGUAACAAAGUGAAGUCCAUCUGUCUGGAGUUGUGCACUUAUUUUAGUGGUAAUAACAGUUAACAUCAACAAUAAGCUUUGUCUCAUUAGUAUCACAUAAUCCCUACUACCAAGUCCUCAGAUUCUGGUCUCCAUAUUAUCUGCCAUGGAAAAAAUAAAGACCACAGCAGGAGCUAAGAAGAUGAGGAAAUUAAAGCACAGGGAGGUCAGAAGCUAACAUUUUCCAACUUGGGCAACUGAAGUGUUUCCAAGGGCCACCCCCACUGAGGUUGCAUGAAAGGGCCCUAAGGCAUUUCAGCUGCUGCUGGGUAACACAGAACACUGCAGGGACUUCAGCGUGGGAGCUGCUGAGCACUGAGGAGGGAACAGCAGGAUCCAUCUUCUGGCCGAGUGGCCGGGCUGGGGUGGCCAGCAGAGCAGCACGUGCUCCUCCUGGCUCAGCAGCAAGUAAGACAAUCCUGGGACACUGCAGAAGAUAUAAGGACAAGAUCAGUGAAAGACCCACUGUGGGUCUGAAAAGCAGCUGUGCCUACGGCUCUCCAGUGGUGGGAUAUCUGAACUGCCUCAAGCUGAGCAGGGAAUUGAACCAAGGACUCCCACAAUUUGUUUUCCCCACUGC
rnacentral:lncRNA from 1 species